CAGGCAGGCCCCACAAAUGACCCAGAGGUGCAUUUUAAAUUAAAGGACACAUUCUACUCAUGUAAAAACAUGCUGAUUCCGGGACCGUCCGCAGGCCAGAUUUAGAAGGCCGGAUCCAGCCCCUGGGCCUUAGUUUGCCUACCCUUGGCUCAGAACAUAAAAGUCGCAGAGUUAAUACAGGCGGGAGAGAUCCUUCGAGGUCAGCCUUCCCGCUCAGCACAGGAAUCUUGCAACUUCAGCAGCCCUGAGAGAUGGGCGGCCGGCCUCCGCCUGGAAACCUCCAGCGAAGGACAGCCCACCCACCACUUCUGAGGUCAGUCGGGUCCCCCCCCCCCCCCGUGGGAGUCAGUAGGGCUCUGGAUGGCAGCUUCUGGGAAUUGCAGUGUGGCAUUCAGGGCCUGGUUGGAGGUUUCCCACGGGUGUCUGGUUGGCAUAGAAUUGUAGAUCUGAAAGGGGUCAUCAGGCUCAGCUAGUCUAACCCCUGCCGCUGUGAGAACAGGAGGCUGGAAUAUUCUGGCCAGAAUUGGGGCACGCGGUGUGUUGACGUCACAUGGCUCUGGGCCCCCUCAAUUGCGGGGGGCAAGGCGUCAUGCCUGGGAAGAACUUUCUCAAUAAACAUACAAGACGUAACCGGCUGUAAAGGUAAAGGGACCCCUGACCAUUAGGUCCAGUUGUGGCCGACUCUGGGGUUGCGGCACUCAUCUUGCUUUAUUAGCAAAGGGAGCCAGCGUACAGCUUCCGGGUCAUGUGGCCAGCAUGACUAAGCCGCUUCUGGCAAACCAGAGCAGCGCACGGAAACGCCGUUUACCUUCCUGCCGGAGCAGUACCUAUUUGUCUACUUGCACUUUGACGUGCUUUCAAACUGCUAGGAUGGGCAGGAGCAGGGACCGAGCAACGGGAGCUCACCCCGUCGCGGGGAUUCGAACGGCCAACCUUCUGAUCGGCAAAUCCUAGGCUCUGUGGUUUAACCCGCAGCGCCACCCGCGUCCCGUAACCGGCUGUACUUUUGAAUAAAUAAGGAACCACUACUAUGCUAUAAGAUCCACUAUCCUGUAAUAUUACAUAUGAGCCUGUUCUACUGAUGAAGCCUAGGAUGGCGAAACAAGGCUAAUAUUCAGGAAAUCCUUGUCUUAAACUCUGUGAAAGGAUUCUGUGGAACUGUAACAACCCUUCAUGUGGAUUAUUGGAUUCUAUGAACAGACAGGUGGAAUAAACACUUAUACAUGUACAGAACUUGUGCAUGAACUGACUAGAGAAUGAACUGAUCCACUGGGUCUUCUGCUUUUUUCGUUGAACUUUAUGAGACUUCCGUUGAAAUCUACAAUUUGAUAUGAUCACUAGUAUUCCUUAUUUAUUCAAAAGUACAGCCAGUUACGUCUUGUGUGUUUAUUGUGUAUUGAUCCCUUCCUUGGGCUCUACGGUUCUAGGAUUCUUUGCCUACGCUAUCUAAAAGCAAAGGAAAUGUGCCUCUCUCUCUCCCCUGCACCCCUCUAGUUGAAAAACCAACCAAUUCAAGGAAUCAACCCCAAUUCCUUUCAAUGGGCAAAGGGUCUCGAUAAUGCCAGUUCUCUUUUUAACCGGCAGCUGUUUGCAUUCCUAGGGGGUUGUAACCUGCUUAAAGGACUUCACAAUCCAGAGACGUUGAACCAGGAAGCUGUAAAUAAAACAAAUGGGGAGGAAGAGGGGGAAGGAAUAAUAACAACAACAAUAAUAAUAAUAAUAAUCAUAAUAAUUUAUUAUUUAUACCCCGCCCAUCUGGCUGAGUUUCCCCAGCCACUCUGGGCGGGGAACACUCCCAACUGAGUGUUAAAAAUUAAAAACUUCCCUAAAUAGGGCUGCCUUCAGAUGUCUUUUAAAAAUGGGAUAGCUGCUUAUUUCCUUCACAUCUGAAGGGAGGGCGUUCCACAGGGCGGGCGCCACUACCAAGAAGGCCCUCUGUCUGGUUCCCUGUAGCCUCACUUCUCGCAAUGAGGGAACCGCCAGAAGGCUCUCGGCGCUGGAUCUCAGUGUCCAGGCAGAACGAUGGGGGUGGAGACGCUCCUUCAGGUAUACAGGACAGAGGCCAUUUAGGGCUUUAAAGGUCAGCACCAACACUUUGAAUUGUGCUCGGAAAUGUACUGGGAGCCAUUGCAGAUCUCUCAGGACCGGUGUUAUGUGGUCCCGGCGGCCACUCCCAGUCACCAGUCUAGCUGCCGCAUUCUGGAUUAAUUGCAGUUUCCGGGUCACCUUCAAAGGUAGCCCCACGUAGAGCGCAUUGCAGUAGUCCAAGCGGGAGAUAACUAGAGCAUGCACCAGUCUUGCAAGACAGUCCGCGGGCAGGUAGGUUCUUAGCCUGCGUACCAGUACUUUUCAGGAUGCCUAAGGAACAUCAGUAGCAAGGAAUCCCAAGUGGGGAGAGCCUUUUUGUGCUCCUGUCCUGCUUUCCAGGUUCCCAGAACUGUCUGGACAGUCACUGUGACAGCAGAAGCAUCUUCCUUAUGCUCUUAAAACAAGGUGAUUUUACUUCCGGUUGCAUUUGGACUCUCCACAUCUAAAUGAUUUUCACCAUCCAUUUCUCACCAGGCUAUGCUGUUAAUGUGAGACAUA